AAGUGAAGAAAUUCAACCAA
rnacentral:ncRNA from 2 species